UCUCUUUUUUCUCGCAUGCCAUCU
rnacentral:miRNA from 1 species